rnacentral:rRNA from 1 species
AUGACGGGAGCUUGCUCCUUGAUUCAGCGGCGGACGGGUGAGUAAUGCCUAGGAAUCUGCCUGGUAGUGGGGGACAACGUUUCGAAAGGAACGCUAAUACCGCAUACGUCCUACGGGAGAAAGCAGGGGACCUUCGGGCCUUGCGCUAUCAGAUGAGCCUAGGUCGGAUUAGCUAGUUGGUGGGGUAAUGGCUCACCAAGGCGACGAUCCGUAACUGGUCUGAGAGGAUGAUCAGUCACACUGGAACUGAGACACGGUCCAGACUCCUACGGGAGGCAGCAGUGGGGAAUAUUGGACAAUGGGCGAAAGCCUGAUCCAGCCAUGCCGCGUGUGUGAAGAAGGUCUUCGGAUUGUAAAGCACUUUAAGUUGGGAGGAAGGGCAGUAAGCUAAUACCUUGCUGUUUUGACGUUACCGACAGAAUAAGCACCGGCUAACUCUGUGCCAGCAGCCGCGGUAAUACAGAGGGUGCAAGCGUUAAUCGGAAUUACUGGGCGUAAAGCGCGCGUAGGUGGUUUGUUAAGUUGGAUGUGAAAGCCCCGGGCUCAACCUGGGAACUGCAUCCAAAACUGGCAAGCUAGAGUACGGUAGAGGGUGGUGGAAUUUCCUGUGUAGCGGUGAAAUGCGUAGAUAUAGGAAGGAACACCAGUGGCGAAAGCGACCACCUGGACUGAUACUGACACUGAGGUGCGAAAGCGUGGG